rnacentral:rRNA from 1 species
UGGGGGAUAUUGCGCAAUGGGCGAAAGCCUGACGCAGCGACGCCGCGUGGGUGAUGAAGGCCUUCGGGUCGUAAAGCCCUGUCGAGGGGGAAGAAACAGCUGCGGUCGAAUAGGCCGCAGCCCUGACGGUACCCCUAAAGGAAGCACCGGCUAACUCCGUGCCAGCAGCCGCGGUAAUACGGAGGGUGCGAGCGUUGUUCGGAAUCACUGGGCGUAAAGCGCGUGUAGGCGGUCUACUAAGUCUGAUGUGAAAGCCCGGGGCUCACCCUCGGAAGUGCAUUGGAAACUGGCAGACUGGAGUCCCGGAGAGGAGGGUGGAAUUCCUGGUGUAGCGGUGAAAUGCGUAGAUAUCAGGAGGAACACCGGUGGCGAAGGCGGCCCUCUGGACGGUGACUGACGC